GGAUUAGAUACCCUGGUAGUCCUAGCUGUAAACGAUGUGCACUAAGGAGGGGAGGCCCCGAGUCUUCUCUCCUCCAGCGAAAGCGUUAAGUGCACCGCCUGGGGAGUAUGCUCGCAAGGGUAAAACUCAAAGGAAUUGACGGGGGCUCACACAAGCGGUGGAGCAUGUGGUUUAAUUCGAAGCAACGCGAAGAACCUUACCAGGGCUAGACAUCUAUCCUAAUCCUACCGAAAGGAAGGAGUGCCUCGGCCGGAUAGUGCAGGUGUUGCAUGGCUGUCGUCAGCUCGUGUCG
rnacentral:rRNA from 1 species